CGUGUGGCAGGGCCAAGUUUUACUUGUAGUUUUUACUGUAUUUUUUGUAGUGUUUUAGGAUAGGAGUAGGUCCCCUGAAUAAAUCACCCCUUUUAUUAGAUGUCCCCUACCCUUUCAUAGAAGUGUGUACCCCUGAUUAGCUUUCCCCAGUAACAGUUCACAUUGUAUGUAAAUUGUUCCCAUGCCAUUGGUUCCCCCUGUCUCAAGACCAUGUGCCCUGCCCACCCUGUAAGACCACAGACCCCUCAUGAUCAGUAGCAGACCAGCGGCAGUAGAGAGAGGACCGUGCAUUUUAUUACCUCUCUUUCCCCCUUGAUUUUCUUGGGUGCGCUUUGCCCUGUGUGAGAGUUUAUCUGCUCGAGUUAUUGGUGAGUUCUGAUAUAUGUUUUUUGUAUUUUCUCAUUAAGUGUAUUAUUAAGUUUUUUUAGAAGUUUUGAUCUGGUUUGGUAUUGUUCAGAGUUUUGACAAUCAAGUUUUAUAGAAUUCCUGAACAGCCUUGUAAGUUGUAGGAAUUAUCACUUGAAGUUUUGAGAUUGGGUUUAUUUAGAAAUUACUUGAAGAAAGUUAGCUUGUAUUGUUUGAUUUUGAUUGAUCAGGAUCAUUAGACAUGUUAGAGUUCUGUUAUUUUCGAGGAAAACUGUGUUGUCAGAAGUUUGAUUUAUUUCAUUGACUUAAUUUCCGAGGAAUGACUUGGAUAGAUGCAUUGCAUUGCCUUUUUCUUUUGACAUCUGAUUUCAGUAUUUUGGAUGGUGUUUUCUUCAUUACCUUUAUUGUUUUAUUGUACAUGUAUAAAGCCAAGAGGAGUGGUUUUCCCACAGACUUCUUACUGAUUAGUUUGCCAUGUUUAUUCAUUAGUUAGACUUGUCCAAGCUGUUCGUUUACUGUAGAUUUGCUUUUCCUUUAUUUUGUAUUUAGCCACCUGUUCCAUUUAGUUAUUCUUAUCUGCUUUGGACCUGUUCAAGUUUACUAUUCAGGAAUGUUGAAUUACCCCCUUGGUGAUUAGUCCUGCACCUGGCAUUCAGAAGACAGGGACCACUGUUUAUCUUGCUCAUUAGGUAUUCACGAGAAAUUUUAGUGUUCUUGGCAAGACUGUAUAGUAGUUCCACAUGGCAUUGUUUAUAUUACUUUAGACCUAGUGUAGCUUGAGUUGUUUGCAUUGUUUACUGUUUCUUAUUAUGUUCUUUACUCUCUUAUCUUGUUUUACAGAUUUUCUGCCAGAAGUGUCUUUAAGGUCUACUAAUAUACACACUGUGUUGGUUUGAGUCUUUGGUUUUAGUCUUAAGUUUUUGGUCUUCAUCUUUUGUUUUGAUUUUGAUUUGAAGUUCUUGUAAAUAAAUUCCUUUUGUCUUUUUUUGUUCGAAAUCUAGAAUUGUGUCCCUUGUCCCUAUUAAUUCAGUCUCCUCGCGCCUUUUCUCUUCAAAGAUCCUGAGUUUAGUUUGGUUAGAAUCCCCAUAGUUGUAUUAGUUUUCGCGAGUUCCCCAGGUGUGUCAUUUUUCCAGGUUACAUUUUUUUACUAUUUUUGGUGGAAGAUCCGGGUAGGGAAUAUAUUUUUUUUUAGUAAAAUUUAGCCAGGAAUUGUUUUGAUAGGGACGACAGGCAUUUUUUCAAAGUUUUUUUUCUGUCUUUGGUGGUCACUUUAGAUAAGUCAAGUAAUAGAGUCUAUAAACCAACACAGUGUUGUUAUAUUGGUGGAUCGGACAAGUACAUGAUGGUGGAUGUCAGGACUCCACUCCAGCUCUGUGGUUUCGACCCAGUACCUGCUGAAACCUGCAACCUUGAAGUCCCUGAUGUGCAGCCACAGUCUGAGAUGCUGAGACUCCUGCAGCACCAGUCCAGUAUGCAAGAGGUUAUUCUGCAGCAAUUUCGGCAGAUAAACGCACUCAAGGAGAUGAUGCGGCAGGUGAUGGGCGAACAGAUGAGGCAGAGAUGCUACAUACAUAGUCUGGAGUGCGCCCUGUCAGAUGUUAAGGUGAAUCAGCGUCCCCCAAAUCAGCCAGUUCCAGAAGUCCCCAUCCCACAUCGGCCAGUACCGAAAACCCCCAACCCGCAGCCAGUGCACGAAGUCCCUAAGCCCAUCCCCCAGCCAGCGCCAGAAACACACGCAAGCACCCCUGAUGAGGCGACACAGGCCAGCUCUCAGGGAGGUAUGAGUUCCGAAAGGAUAAGCCUCAGGGAAGCUCAGCUGAAAGAUCCCGCAAUCAGGCGGGUUGUUGAGCUCAAGACGGCAAGCCCCCUGAUGACAAGGAGGCAAAUGUCCCAAGAAACCAGAGUGGUGCAGAAGUUGCUAGGAGUAUGGCGUCGACUAGAGGUGAAGGGAGGACUUCUGAUGUACAAGAAGGGCGGCGGGAAGGCUACAUGUAGAUACCUGGCAGUGCUUCCCCGACAGCAGAGAGAGGAAGUGUUUCAUAGUCUCCACGGAAGCAUGGACAAGUUCGGCUAUGGAAGAAUCCUGAAGCUUGUCAAGGACAGGUAUUAUUGGCCUAGUCUUCAUAAUGAAGCAAUGGCAUACAUGAGGUGUCAUCGCAGGGGCGUACAGCGAAAUGGGAGGGAAGCGUCCGGUGAGAUCUCACCGCCUCCAGAGUUCCGGGAUGACAGAGGACCCUGAUCACUGUAUUUUUGUCUAGUUUAAAUUUGUGGUUGACUUAAAUGUCCUCAAUAAUAUAUUGAAGUGUAUUGUGUAUUUUAGCAUUUUGUUUGUUUGUUUUAAUCAUGUUUAAUUGAAUUAAGUUGAUUUUUAUUGCCAUUGCUGGGGACAGCAAUAUUUUAAAGAUGGCGUGAGUGUGGCAGGGCCAAGUUUUACUUGUAGUUUUUACUGUAUUUUUUGUAGUGUUUUAGGAUAGGAGUAGGUCCCCUGAAUAAAUCACCCCUUUUAUUAGAUGUCCCCUACCCUUUCGUAGAAGUGUGUACCCCUGAUUAGCUUUCCCCAGUAACAGUUCACAUUGUAUGUAAAUUGUUCCCAUGCCAUUGGUUCCCCCUGUCUCAAGACCAUGUGCCCUGCCCACCCUGUAAGACCACAGACCCCUCAUGAUCAGUAGCAGACCAGCGGCAGUAGAGAGAGGACCGUGCAUUUUAUUACCUCUCUUUCCCCCUUGAUUUUCUUGGGUGCGCUUUGCCCUGUGUGAGAGUUUAUCUGCUCGAGUUAUUGAUUUUCUGCCAGAAGUGUCUUUAAGGUCUACUAAUAUACACACUGUGUUGGUUUGAGUCUUUGGUUUUAGUCUUAAGUUUUUGGUCUUCAUCUUUUGUUUUGAUUUUGAUUUGAAGUUCUUGUAAAUAAAUUCCUUUUGUCUUUUUUUGUUCGAAAUCUAGAAUUGUGUCCCUUGUCCCUAUUAAUUCAGUCUCCUCGCGCCUUUUCUCUUCAAAGAUCCUGAGUUUAGUUUGGUUAGAAUCCCCAUAGUUGUAUUAGUUUUCGCGAGUUCCCCAGGUGUGUCAUUUUUCCAGGUUACACACG